CUCCUUUGUUGGCGGAAGGUUUAUUUUCUUUGUUGGCAGUGAUAGAGACAAUUUCAGGGUACUUUCAGUCUUCAAUCUGGACACCUUAGAAUGGACAUCCUCGACGAAGUUGGAGAAAGAGAAGAUUACCGCUGACGAUUUGCUAAUUUUUACUGCAUUUGGAGAACAUAGCAGCGACAAAUACCUGUAUGGUUUGCAUGGACUUAUCAACAAACGUAUCUUAAGGUUAGGGCCCUUGUCUAAUAUAGACCAAAAUCCAAGAAUGUUCAGCACCCUCCCAAUCAAGACUAUAUCAAUGACGGAACAAGUUGAAUCUUUUUAUGAGAAUUGGACUGUAGCAGUUUUAUUUUGCACUUGGGGAAUCGGCGUUUCUGUUAUCUGCACUCUGGGUCUCCUCAUGGUUUUGGAUUUCCUGCUACUGUUCAAGAUGAUUACCCGCGCAAUCUUAAAUUGUUUGUCUUCGAGGAAACCA
rnacentral:misc_RNA from 1 species